UACGGGGGGUGCGAGCGUUGUCCGGAAUCACUGGGCGUAAAGGGCGCGUAGGUGGUUUGAUAAGGGUGUGGUGAAAGUCCGGGGCUCAGCCCCGGAUCUGCCGUGCCGACUGUCAAACUCGAGGGCUGUAGAGGCAGACGGAAUUCCGGGUGUAGCGGUGGAAUGCGUAGAGAUCGGGAAGAACAUCAGUGGCGAAGGCGGCCUGCUGGGCUGUUGCUGACGCUGAGGCGCGACAGCGUGGGGAGCAAACAGG
rnacentral:rRNA from 1 species